GCCCUUCAAGAGAGAUCCAUUUACUAUCAAAACAUCAAUACCUACCUUAAAGAUUUUUUUGAGAUAGAUGAAUUCCAUGGUUCAUUGGUUGCAGCCAGCUUCAUCUGCGAACAUCCGCAGGUGAAGCUGGCUACGGAUGGGUCAUAUAUCGGAUUCGUCGGAUUUCAAAUCUGACGAAUGUGAGGCCUCACCUGAAACUGACACGGUUCCGUCAGAUAUAUCCA
rnacentral:lncRNA from 1 species